AGAUUGGAAGGAAGAAGAAGAAGAUAAAGAUAAGGAUGGCAAGGAAGUAAAAUCAGCAGAAUUCAAUGCAGGAGUUUGAGGAUAAGAUCUCCCUUUCCCCUUCCCUUUCCUUUUCCUUUUCCUUUUCCGUUUC
rnacentral:ribozyme from 12 species